rnacentral:rRNA from 1 species
GACGAACGCUGGCGGCGUGCUUAACACAUGCAAGUCGUACGGUAAGGCCCUUUCGGGGGUCCACGAGUGGCGCACGGGUGAGUAACACGUGAGUAACCUUCCCACAACUUUGGGAUAACGCUAGGAAACUGGUGCUAAUACUGGAUAUGUGCUCCUGCUGCAUGGUGGGGGUUGGAAAGCUCCGGCGGUUGUGGAUGGACUCGCGGCCUAUCAGCUUGUUGGUGGGGUAGUGGCCUACCAAGGCGGCGACGGGUAGCCGGCCUGAGAGGGUGACCGGCCACAUUGGGACUGAGAUACGGCCCAGACUCCUACGGGAGGCAGCAGUGGGGAAUAUUGCACAAUGGGCGCAAGCCUGAUGCAGCAACGCCGCGUGCGGGAUGACGGCCUUCGGGUUGUAAACCGCUUUCAGCAGGGACGAAGCUUUUUGUGACGGUACCUGCAGAAGAAGCACCGGCUAACUACGUG